GAGCGCCGGAAGCAGUAGGCAAGCAGUUUUGGAACUUCUCCUCUAUAUGGCCUCUCCAGUGGAGUAGCAAGACUUCUUACAUGGCAACUCAAGAUAGCCAAGAAGCAAAAAUAGAAACUUCUAGGACUCUAAAGGAGCAGAAGGAAGAAGAGGUGAAGACCUUUCCAGUGCUUGUCUACGCCUUAAGUGAGUCUGCAACUUGGAGGCUUGUGGUCCAUUUUAACUCAAGCAAGUAACUUGGAGCUCCUUAAAGGCAUGAAGGAGAUUCAAGAGAGCUGCAUAACCCUUUGCCCAGCAUCUGAAUAAAAAAGUUCUAAGGAUACCUCAACUCCAGGUCCUAUGCCUGAUGUCUGCCUUCUGGAUCACUUUCAAGUCUUUUUGUCUUCUGAGGUCAAGCUCUUAAUGUUCAAAUAAAAUGGGUUUAUCUUUCCUUAUCUGACAUACUACGGCAGCCCAGACCACCACAUAGCCCCCUCCUUCUUUGCACCAGUAUUCUUUCCAUUAAUAGAGGGGGAUUGGUCUCCUGCUUAGUCCUGAGAUGAUUCACAUCGUGACCUGGUUCUCUGCUGUCUCCUGGGUCCCAGGCACCAUUCUCAGCUCCUACAGCUGCUGCCUCCAUUUGGUACCACUUUUGCCAACUCUGCACACUUCUCUUCCUUCCUCUCCCCCAAGACCCUACUAAACACUAAAUAAGGUGUUGUGAAAAGCAGACACAUACUAACCUGUAGGGUGAGGGGCUAAUAAAGAUAAUUAUAAUGCAGAAAAAUUCAAGAUGGAGAAGAGUCAAGCUCACCAGGGAUGCCCUGUGACCCAGGCCAUGUUUUAGCUUGUCCUGAAGCCCUUUUCUUCUGAGAACCUUCUUUCUCUGUUUUACUUUGUCACCUGCCCAGACCCCCUCAGCUCGCUCACUCAGGCUGCCACCUGAAAAAGCCAAGGUUCUGUUACUUUAGUGAGAAAAACAAUUAAGCACUCUCAUUCAAGUUGGAUCUAAGCUCUAGCCAAGGAGGGCCUGGGCUGUUCAUUGCCCGUAACCACAAAGGCUCAUUAAGCUGUGGUGGACGUGGAUAUGAGUGUUUGUCUUGCCAGACUCACAGUGUGAGCUCUUAACCACUGCCCCAUACUGCUUUCUUUCCUUCCCCACACUUUCCAGGCUCAGCAGGAAAAUGGCAAGGCAACAAAGGAAGGCUAAGGGAGGAAAUUCCCUCUUUCCCCAUCUCUCUCCAUAAGGCAGAAGUCGCCAGUGAGAACCAGCAUUUCAUCCAAGGAAACAUACUUAAGCUUAUACAUACUGGUUAGGUCUCUGUCUGGGUCUUUAUUUGCCCUGACUCCAGCCCUCAUCAACCCGAGGGGUCAGACUGGGUCUAGUUCUGGUCUUUCUUGUGUGAACUACUCACAGAGCCCAGACAACUCCAGCUGAGCCUUUAAAGUUGGAGCUUUGGCAGCCACGGGCACCCUUCACGGUAAUCCCGCCACUUUGUCCCAUGAACUCUAAGAGGCUUGUAAAUGUUUACCAUGCACAGACUAAGCAAAUGUUUACAGUGAACUUUUACACAGAACCCAGAGAAGCUCCCUAAUCCAUAGAAUCAUCCAGCAGAAGCAAGCCCACAGAAUUCAACGUAUGCCCACGCUGUAGCCUACACGCUGAAUGGCUCCUUUCAAAGGCCAUGAGGCCUGGCUGCGGCAGGUAAGUAUCCACGUUUGUGGUCUUUGCAAGGUUGCCACACUGAGGACCUUCGUUCAGACAAAGUACAGUAAUCUUUCAUGAUUCCCAUAAAUCAGAAAACUGCAUAUGUCAACGAGGGUUAGGUUGCUCUGGGGGCUCCUGUCUAGAGCUUAAGAAACAGAAAAAAAGGUGCACUAGAGGCAGUAACAGAAUCAGGAGGGAAGGAAUGUUAUGAAUUUUGUUCUGAAAAAUUCAGCUCAACAGUUCUAAUAGGGCCAAUAUUUAGGCUACAAUAUUUGGCUGGAUCUGCUACAUAAUUCAUCUUCUCACAAGCAAACCCAAAUGAUCUGACUCAGAGCCAAUUUAUUUUUAUGGAGUUAAAUUAGUCACUAUUUAUAAACCGAAGAGGCUCCAAAAGGCUCUUUAAGGAGGGUGUCACUACUUUUUCCACCAGUAUGUUUGCCUUUCGAUCCUUCUGGUUUGCUUUGGUUUGAUUGUGGUUUCUGAGUAAAAGGGUGGGCACUAUGUACAUGCUUGGUGAAAAUAGCUUCAGCUGAGUACGUAGGUCAUUUAUCUUGAAAUGGGAAUGAUAGGUUGGGAAACUGUAGGCAGGGCAGGAAUGUGUGCGUUGGAGGCCCGAGUCAGCUGUGCAAGUUCAGCUAAAUGGUACCUGGAUGUAGGUUUUAGUUAGUGGCAAAAAUGUGAAGAGGACUUUAUUUCACAAUGUGGCCUGGAUAUCUUUCCCAUAUUUCUUUCCCCAGUGGUACUAGAUCUGAAGAAAGAGAUGCCAAAGGAAUUACUUGACCAAAUCUGUGCUAUCUCGGACAGAUGUCAAAGUUGUACAAAGACCCCUCCUUGGCCUCCCAGCCAGCUUUUCCACAAUGACCCAUCCUUGGCCUCCCAGCCAGCUUUUCCACAAUGACCCAUCCUUUCUCAUUCCUCUCCAUCAAACACCAUCUUCAGCAAACCAGUACUGGUGACCUGAGGGAAGUACGUCAGAGGGUCAUAAAAUGUUCAGCUGAAGGAUCUUAGAGAUCAUUUGUUAAGGAACCUCCUUUUACAUAAUGGAUGGCAAGAGAGGUAGGAAGCUUGUCUAAGGCCAUAUACUGAGUGUCAGUGUUAGGGCUAGAACUCAACUCUCCAGAUCCACGGCUUCCCUCGGAUCUACCCAAGAGGACACAGCCAAAGAUGAGCCAUUGGUUUGAGAAGGUAGGAGCUGGAAGUGUCAGGCUGAUCCCACAAUGCUGGUAGUAGACUUUCUCACCUUGCCAUUCUCCAUUCCUGAGAAAGGAGGAAGCCCUGCCAAGAUGACAGCCUCCUCCUUCCCACUUACCCAUCCACCUACAGUUAAAGACCAGUUUACAGAUCUUCCUUCCCAGGCCUGGGUUGCUCCAGGAAUCAGAGUUUUUGGAACAUUUCUUCUUGCUCAUGUCUCUUCCUGGCUCCUGACUGGACAGCUUUUCUGCCCUCCUAGUUAGUGCCUAAUAACCAGAAAUCACUUGUGUUUCUACCAAAAUGGCUUAUUUAAUCUGCUCCAUUUCUGUCCUGGGCAGAUCCGUUCACCCCUCCGUAGGCAACCGGGGGGUCCCCUGCUCCCAGAAGGUCACCAUAUUGAUGCUGAACUUAGUAUGGACACCUGAUCAGCAUAACUUUCUACAGCCCAGAACUCCAGGGCUCAUGCGAUCCUCCCACCUUAGCCUCCCAAGUGGCUGGGACUAGAGGUGUGCCACCAUGCCCUAUUAAUUUUUUAUUUUGAGCCAAAGUUUCACUUUGUUACCAGGCUGGAGGGCAUUGGCACGAUCUUGGCUCACUGCAACCUCCACCUCCUGGGUUCAAGCAAUUCUGCUUCAGCCUCCUGAAUAGCUGGGACUACAGGCAUGUGCCAUGAUGCCUAGCUAAUUUUUGUAUUUUCAGUAAAGACGGGCUUUCACCAUGUUGGCCAGGAUGGUCUCGAACUCUUGACCUCAUGAUUUGCCCACCUUGGCCUCCCAAAGUGUUGGGAUUACAGGCAUGAGCCACCGCACCCAGCUGCCUUAUUAAUUUUUUAAAAAUUUUGGUAGAGAUGGAUUCUUGCUAUGUUACCCAGGCUGGUUUUGAACUCCUGGCCCCAAGUGAUCCUCCCACCUUGGCUUUCUGAGUAGCUGGGACUACAGGUGUGUGUCACCAUACCUGGUAAUAAAAUACCUUAUUUGUAUCCAGAUAUUGUCACACCAUCUAACGACAUUCAUCCAAAUACUUGUAAACCACAGGACUCAUGGAGGAAGUGUAAGAUAACUUUUUUGACAACAGACAAAAAUAGCAAGUGCCCCUGUCACUAUCUUCCUCCUAGGCUCCUGCUUUAGCUGUCUUAGUGUGCUCUCCAGGUACCAGCUGUGAUCCUGGAUCCUUUCUCCUGCUCUCUCCUCAGAAGCCUCACAUCUUCCUGCUUCUACCAGACAGGGAUCCAAGAAGCUGCCCCAUUUGUCCGCUCAGAGUUAUGUGUCAAGUUUACAAAAUACAAAACAAAGAGCCCCUGUAUCUCCUAUUAUGCAUUCCAAAAUGCUGAUUGCUAACAAAAAAUCUGGG